CCUCCUUUGAGGCUGGGGAUUUUAAACCCGCGUCCUGUGAUUGGGAUGGGGAUUGAGGGCUAUAUUCAGCGCCUGGCCACCAGAGGGCGCAGCGGGCUGGGUUCAGCGGUACCCCUUUGAGAUCUUGUGUCUCAAGACAGGUUGCUGUCAUCAAGGAUUUGCUGGUUAGACAACAGGCAAGGGGUGAGCUGGGUCCUCUUGGGCAGGAGCCUAGUAGGAAGACCGACAACAGGAAAGAGGCUCACAUCUGAUACUGGGCACAUGGCUGGGCCUUGGUCCUCGUGCUCCCGGACUUCAGAGCUCAGAGGGGCCAGGGCCUGGCCUAGCCUGGAAUCUGGAUGGACCUCUUCUGCCCUGGGGCGCGCCGUUUACCCAAUCCUGACCUCAGAGAGCGUCUGUCGUUCUGGUGGGAAAACCGAGACCCAGACAGGAACAAGGGCUCAGUGGCAACCGCUCUGCCUCCCAGCCCAGGGCUCUGUCUUGCCGGGGCUGGGGCACAGGGUGGACCCCAGGAAGUUCUGCUAUGAGUCAGCUUCGAGUGCUCAGGGGACCGGACAGAGGCUGCUGGCCGGGGAAGGAUGCCGGCCGGCGGUACCUACUUCCGCAGCUGUGGGUAUCCCUGCCUGGUGAUUCAGCUUCCCUCUGAGGGUCCCCAGGGGGCGCCGCCCUGGACUGGGAGGCUGGGGAGGAUGCUGGGGCUACGGAGGGGCGAUGGAGGUGCCUUAAGGGACCCCGUAAUCCAGCUCUGCUGGAUGCUGAGGUCCCACGAGAUAAUUGUGGCCAGAGAUCAGGUGGGCGUAAGACUGGUCCUAGGAUGGGGGCUGUGGGCCCCUCCUCACUACCCUGCUUCUUGAAGAUAGCCUGGGCGGCUGUGCGGGAUACCCCAGUGUCUCCAGCAAUGCGCGUUCAUCUCCAUGGAGGGCUCGCCUUGGCGCUGGGUGGGGAGCGACUUGGUCCCCCCUGGCGGCGAAGAGAGGCUGACCACGCCAGCUCGUGGGGGGGUCUACUGGGCAGA
rnacentral:lncRNA from 1 species